GAUGAAGAACGCAGCGAAAUGCGAUAAGUAAUGUGAAUUGCAGAAUUCAGUGAAUCAUCGAAUCUUUGAACGCACAUUGCGCCCGCCAGUAUUCUGGCGGGCAUGCCUGUUCGAGCGUCAUUUCAACCAUCAAGCCCCAGGCUUGUGUUGGGGACCUGCGGCUGCCGCAGGCCCUGAAAACCAGUGGCGGGCUCGCUGUCACACCGGGCGUAGUAGAUUUUAUCUCGCUCAGGGCGUGCUGCGGGUUCCGGCCGUUAAAAAGCCUUUUUUACCCAAGGUUGACCUCGGAUCAGGUAGGAAGACCCGCUGAACUUAUGCAUAUCAAUAAGCGGAGGA
rnacentral:misc_RNA from 1 species